rnacentral:rRNA from 1 species
GAUGAACGCUGGCGGCGUGCCUAAUACAUGCAAGUCGAGCGAACGGACGAGAAGCUUGCUUCUCUGAUGUUAGCGGCGGACGGGUGAGCAACACGUGGAUAACCUACCUAUAAGACUGGGAUAACUUCGGGAAACCGGAGCUAAUACCGGAUAAUAUUUUGAACCGCAUGGUUCAAAAGUGAAAGACGGUCUUGCUGUCACUUAUAGAUGGAUCCGCGCUGCAUUAGCUAGUUGGUAAGGUAACGGCUUACCAAGGCAACGAUGCAUAGCCGACCUGAGAGGGUGAUCGGCCACACUGGAACUGAGACACGGUCCAGACUCCUACGGGAGGCAGCAGUAGGGAAUCUUCCGCAAUGGGCGAAAGCCUGACGGAGCAACGCCGCGUGAGUGAUGAAGGUCUUCGGAUCGUAAAACUCUGUUAUUAGGGAAGAACAUAUGUGUAAGUAACUGUGCACAUCUUGGCGGUACCUAAUCAGAAAGCCACGGCUAACUACGUG